GACAAAAUGUUUAGGUCUGUCGAUAAAGGACCACCAAUCAUCUAAAGAGAGACAUUGUAAUGGAACAAUCAGUCUAGUAGGAGAGGAUGAUGAUGGAACCAUGUACCUUCUUCCCCUGGUUGUGAUCCUGGGUGUUGUGACUGCUGUUCUACUGAUAGUCAUUCUCAUCCUGGUCCUCAAGAUCAGACSAGACGCAAACAGACACAACACAGAACCAAGACACAGAUACAUUGAAUUAUGCCGCCCUGAAUUUCACCUCCAAGAAGAGGAAGAUGGAGAGGAGAAGAGAGAAGGAGCUGGACCCCCAUGUAGUGUAUGCUGCUACAAGAUGACAAAGGAUGGAAGAGGAGGAUAAUUAGUUGUCCAGAUCUUUGAAUAUAAGUUUAAAUCUUGCUAUAUUGUAUCUGUGUAGUUAUAUUAAAUGUAUUGAAAUGUGAA